UUUUCUCUUUUCCUUUCUUCUUCUUUUUCCUCCUGCUGCCGCCACGGUCUCCUUCCUCCACCCGAUCCCCUUCUUCCUCCUCAUCCCGCGAGCUCCACUACAUGGCCGAGUCUCCCUUUGCUCUCUCCCCCUCAAGCUCCCCACGGCCCCUCUUCCUCGAGCUCCUCUACGCCGCGCCGCUCUCCCUCUCCCGUGGCCGCCUGCCCUCUGCGCCCGCACCGCCGCCUCCUUGCCGGCCCGCGUCUGCUGCUCCCUUGCUCCCCGCCGGCGCUCGUCCUCCGCCCCACGCCGCCGAGCUCCCUCGCAGCGCCGCUCCGCUUCCCCGUGCCGCCCGACACCACCUCGCGGGCCUCUCUCUCCCCGGCCUCGCGCGCCUGCUGCCUCCCCGCACGCGCGCCUCCCGCGUCCCCCUCGCCGGCCGCUCCGCCCUAUGCGUCGCCGAGCCCCUCUUCACCGGAGCCGCCUCCCCGUCGGCCGCGUCCAGCCCACGCGCCGCUCUCCCUCUCCCUACGGCCUUGCCUCGCGCGCGCCUCCUGCUCGCCCCCUCCUCUGCUCUCUGUCGCGUGCGCCGCCAGCGCCCGGCUCCAUCGCCCGGCCCCAGGACUCCCCGCGCCUCUGCCUCCGCCUCCGCCUGGCCGCCCGUGCGCCCCCUCUCCACCUCGUUGCCCCGUGAAUAGUGAAAUGCAUGUGUUGUUGAGAUGCCGUGUAUGUACCGAUAAUAUCGAUAGUUGCAGUCUUCGAUUCCUACGACGACGACUACAUUUGUGUUCUUCUUCCAGGAUUCUUACUCAAAUCCGGGCAAUUGAGUACUCCAGGCAAGCAGCCAUUCCUUGAGCAUGUUGUUUAUGCCCAAUGACUCUCUCUCAUUCUUGCAUUAAGUUACGUUCUCGGUUCUUGUCACGAUGCCUCUAGAAUUGCAUAGCUUUAGUCAGCUCUACUCAUAUGCCUGUUGUCUUGUUCCUUAUCCUAUUACCAUGUCACAUGUUUGUUAUUGCCCCAGUUGAUCAUUAGAAGUUUGAUUAGAUUGCUAGUCUAGUGUCCUUACUUGGGGUUACACAAUUGCGACAUCCACAUGCUACUUCCUGUAUUUAAAUUGCAAAUAUUAAACUGUGAUAUGAUAUUAAACUGUAACAAAGCAACCAUGGGAGGCUGUGCUCUAACGCAUUGGUGUUUUGUUCCAUUGGCGCCGACCUAAGGACUGAGUUCUCGUUUUCGCCGAUCCAAGAAACUUCGCGCUAACCGCUCGUGGGAAAAUAUAUGGGUUCUUCCUCGGCUUUGUAACAUCCCAAAAUUUCAAAAUUUUACAUGUCCAUUGCAUCCAUGAGCAUCAUGCCACAAUUGCAUGUUUGAAUUCAAAUUUGAAUCUCAAAAGGCUUUGGAAAGAUUUUAUUU